AGAGUUUGAUCCUGGCUCAGGAUGAACGCUAGCGGCAGGCCUAACACAUGCAAGUCGAACGGUAACAGGAAAUAGCUUGCUAUUUUGCUGACGAGUGGCGCACGGGUGCGUAACGCGUAUACAAUCUACCUUUUGCUGAGGGAUAGCCCAGAGAAAUUUGGAUUAAUACCUCAUGGUAUUAUUGAUAGGCAUCUAUUAAUAAUUAAAGGUUACGGCAAAAGAUGAGUAUGCGUCCCAUUAGCUAGUUGGUGAAGUAACGGUUCACCAAGGCAACGAUGGGUAGGGGUCCUGAGAGGGAGAUCCCCCACACUGGUACUGAGACACGGACCAGACUCCUACGGGAGGCAGCAGUGAGGAAUAUUGGACAAUGGAGGCAACUCUGAUCCAGCCAUGCCGCGUGCAGGAAGACUGCCCUAUGGGUUGUAAACUGCUUUUAUACAGGAAGAAUAAGCCUUACGUGUAAGGUGAUGACGGUACUGUAAGAAUAAGGACCGGCUAACUCCGUGCCAGCAGCCGCGGUAAUACGGAGGGUCCGAGCGUUAUCCGGAAUUAUUGGGUUUAAAGGGUCCGUAGGCGGAUGAUUAAGUCAGGGGUGAAAGUUUGCAGCUCAACUGUAAAAUUGCCUUUGAUACUGGUCAUCUUGAGUUGUAUUGAAGUAGGCGGAAUAUGUAGUGUAGCGGUGAAAUGCAUAGAUAUUACAUAGAACACCAAUUGCGAAGGCAGCUUACUAAGUACUAACUGACGCUGAUGGACGAAAGCGUGGGUAGCGAACAGGAUUAGAUACCCUGGUAGUCCACGCCGUAAACGAUGGAUACUAGCUGUUCGAUCUUCGGAUUGAGUGGCUAAGCGAAAGUGAUAAGUAUCCCACCUGGGGAGUACGUUCGCAAGAAUGAAACUCAAAGGAAUUGACGGGGGCCCGCACAAGCGGUGGAGCAUGUGGUUUAA
rnacentral:rRNA from 1 species